UCUCAACGUAGACUGUUCGGUUUAAAAUGACUGUCAGGCGUCCUUUGUCUGCAGAUAUUGCCAGACCUGUCAAGCUUUUCCAACAAUUUCUGUUUUUAUUUCCUUGGUCUAUGCUGCUUCAAAGAAAGAUCAAAACCGGAAAUGACACUACUCACCAUAAUGGACCAAACAGUAUAAAUUCCAAGUGGAGUAGAAUAACAUCGCUUCAUCAGAGGAUCCACUGAUGGUAUCACUACCAUGGUGAUGCAAUGUCUGAAAGACAACAAGCCAGCUCGGCGAGCAAGUCAACAACCUCAUCCACAACCCGACCUGCAGAGCUUAACCAAACCUUUGAUUCUCUUAGUGUUAACGGAAAUGGAAAGGGAUGGCCUAAGUUCAGCAAAUGAUUUGGGUAGAGAUAAGAAAUGAAAAAGACAAGUAGUCAUUUGUAGGUGUGUAAGUUUUUAGAAAGUGGUUCUGGAGAAUUGAAAAUGGAAAAUAAAGAGAUGGCGUAUGAAUUGAACAGGUAGUAUUUUGCAUUAAUCAACACUGCAGAGGAUACCAAUAACAUCUCAGCGACUAAUUCAGGAAAUGGAAGGGUAAGAGGUAUUGCGGAAAGUCAUUAUCAAAAGUAGUGCUGAGGAAAUUUAGGUUGACAAGUGCCUGAGUCCUGAUAGAGUUCAUGCUUGGGUCUUAAAAAGAAAGUGGCUCAUGAGAUAUUUAAUGCACUAGUUUUAAUUUUCCAAAACUUUCCUGAUUCGGGGAAUGUCUGAUU